AGGAAACGGCCCGGGAAAAACGGGAGGAAGGGGGAAGACGUCAAGUCCUAAUGGCCCUUACGGGUUGGGCUACACACGUGCUACAAUGGCAACUACAGUGGGUUAAUCCCCAAAAGUUGUCUCAGUUCGGAUUGUCGUCUGCAACUCGACGGCAUGAAGUAGGAAUCGCUAGUAAUCGCGUAACAGCAUGACGCGGUGAAUACGUUCCCGGGCCUUGUACACACCGCCCGUCACACCAUGGGAGUUGGGUUUACCCGAAGGCCGUGCGCUAACUUUUGAGGCAGCGGACCACGGUGAGCUCAGCGACUGGGGUGAAGUCGUAACAAGGUAGCCGU
rnacentral:rRNA from 1 species